rnacentral:rRNA from 1 species
GACGAACGCUGGCGGCGUGCUUAACACAUGCAAGUCGAACGGAAAGGCCCUGCUUUUGUGGGGUGCUCGAGUGGCGAACGGGUGAGUAACACGUGAGUAACCUGCCCUUGACUUUGGGAUAACUUCAGGAAACUGGGGCUAAUACCGGAUAGGAGCUCCUGCUGCAUGGUGGGGGUUGGAAAGUUUCGGCGGUUGGGGAUGGACUCGCGGCUUAUCAGCUUGUUGGUGGGGUAGUGGCUUACCAAGGCUUUGACGGGUAGCCGGCCUGAGAGGGUGACCGGCCACAUUGGGACUGAGAUACGGCCCAGACUCCUACGGGAGGCAGCAGUGGGGAAUAUUGCACAAUGGGCGGAAGCCUGAUGCAGCAACGCCGCGUGCGGGAUGACGGCCUUCGGGCUGUAAACCGCUUUCGCCUGUGACGAAGCGUGAGUGACGGUAAUGGGUAAAGAAGCACCGGCUAACUACGUGCCAGCAGCCGCGGUGAUACGUAGGGUGCGAGCGUUGUCCGGAUUUAUUGGGCGUAAAGGGCUCGUAGGUGGUUGAUCGCGUCGGAAGUGUAAUCUUGGGGCUUAACCCUGAGCGUGCUUUCGAUACGGGUUGACUUGAGGAAGGUAGGGGAGAAUGGAAUUCCUGGUGGAGCGGUGGAAUGCGCAGAUAUCAGGAGGAACACCAGUGGCGAAGGCGGUUCUCUGGGCCUUUCCUGACGCUGAGGAGCGAAAGCGUGGGGAGCGAACAGGCUUAGAUACCCUGGUAGUCCACGCUGUAAACGGUGGGUACUAGGUGUGGGGUCCAUUCCACGGGUUCCGUGCCGUAGCUAACGCUUUAAGUACCCCGCCUGGGGAGUACGGCCGCAAGGCUAAAACUCAGAGGGAUUGACGGGGCCCCGCACAAGCGGCGGAGCAUGCGGAUUAAUUCGAUGCAACGCGUAGAACCUUACCUGGGUUUGACAUGGAUCGGGAGUGCUCAGAGAUGGGUGUGCCUCUUUUGGGGUCGGUUCACAGGUGGUGCAUGGCUGUCGUCAGCUCGUGUCGUGAGAUGUUGGGUUAAGUCCCGCAACGAGCGCAACCCUUGUUCACUGUUGCCAGCACGUUAUGGUGGGGACUCAGUGGAGACCGCCGGGGUCAACUCGGAGGAAGGUGGGGAUGACGUCAAGUCAUCAUGCCCCUUAUGUCCAGGGCUUCACGCAUGCUACAAUGGCUGGUACAGAGAGUGGCGAGCCUGUGAGGGUGAGCGAAUCUCGGAAAGCCGGUCUCAGUUCGGAUUGGGGUCUGCAACUCGACCUCAUGAAGUCGGAGUCGCUAGUAAUCGCAGAUCAGCAACGCUGCGGUGAAUACGUUCCCGGG